rnacentral:lncRNA from 1 species
AACAGGUUAUACCCAUAGUUGUUAAUCCAUAACAGGUUGUAACCAUAGCCUAUCAUCUAUAACAGGUUAUAACCUUAGCAUAUCAUCCAUAACAGGUUAUACCCAUAGUUGUUAAUCCAUAACAGGUUGUAACCAUAGCCUAUCAUCUAUAACAGGUUAUAACCUUAGCAUAUCAUCCAUAACAGGUUAUACCCAUAGUUGUUAAUCCAUAACAGGUUGUAACCAUAGCCUAUCAUCUAUAACAGGUUAUAACCUUAGCAUAUCAUCCAUAACAGGUUAUACCCAUAGUUGUUAAUCCAUAACAGGUUGUAACCAUAGCCUAUCAUCUAUAACAGGUUAUAACCUUAGCAUAUCAUCCAUAACAGGUUAUACCCAUAGCCUUUAAUCCAUAACAGGUGUUGAAGGCCACAUUCGUUGGGUGGUUGGGUGCUCCAACCCUUUUAAUGGCACAGUGAUCUCUCAUUAGUAAAACCCAAUAUCCCAUUAUCCAACAGACACACCAGCUCUCUCGUCAGCACAUUUGGCUAAAUGAAGGUCACCUUGAGAGGAGUCCCAAAAGGGUACCCUGUUCCCUAUGGGGCCCUGGUCUGAAAAGUAGUACACUACAUAGGGAAUAGGGUGUAAUUUGGGACUUAAGCCUUGAAUCCCUCUAUGUUUACAAACAGUACACAGAGACCCUUUCUUGUCCUGUCCAGUCCUGACUGGGAAAAGUCUCAGAGCACAGCUAGCUAUCGCAAACUCUUUUGUCUUUCAAAUUUUGACUAACUUUCAACUUCAAAUUGUACUUGUUAUUCAAAUAAAUAGACAAUGUAGACAGUUUGUCUAUGUUGUUGUCCAUGAUAUGUGUCUAUGUAAUUUCGCAGCUCAAAGUUACUAUGGAUGUGUUCCUUUUCUGAGAAGAAGUGCUACCCCGUACAGUGUCCUAACUAGGACUGGAGUAACGGCUUGUGACGACGACUCUAUCCUAAUAUGGAUACCGUAAUCCUGAAGUGGCUGAUGGGAGAAUGACAACAGGAAGAGGCUAUUCAAUGGGACAGACACCUCUCAGACAGUAUUUAGAAAACAGACUUGAAUAUGUUUUCCUAUUUGUUUUUGUCUUAAGCUAAACUAAAUGUUCCAGAAUGAUGAAAUUGUUUUUCAUAAAUAAAUAAAAGUAAGAGUAAU